rnacentral:rRNA from 1 species
UACGUAGGUGGCAAGCGAUACUCGGAAUCACUAGGCGUAAAGCGCAGGUAGGCGGUUCGGUAAGUCUUUUGUGAAAGCUCCCGGCUCAACUGGGAGAGGCCAAAGGAAACUACCGGACUAGAGUGUGGUAGGGGAUACUGGAAUUCCUGGUGUAGCGGUGAAAUGCGUAGAUAUCAGGAGGAAUACCUAUGGCGAAAGCAGGUAUCUGGGCCAUCACUGACGCUGAGCUGCGAAAGCUAGGGGAGCAAACAGG